UAUGCCCAUGACAAUGGCAGUUCAACAUGGGUUUAUCAUUAAGUAAAUGUCCUUUGUGCUUGGCCUUCAAAAUUUCUAAUGUUUGUUAGAUAUUGUUGGGCUUUUAUGGGUACAUUUUUUUUAUUCUUGUUAUCCCAUUGUAAUUCCAAGUUACUAGUGAUGGCUACUGCAGCCAGUAUUGUGGAAGUUCUUCUGUUAGCUAGGUCUCUCUUAUGCUCUUCAAUUCUUUCCUGGAGUGUUCUUGAGGUAAUCCCUAUAUAUGCUGUGGGUUGUUGUCGAUAAAUAGGGCUGGAAUCUUAAAUGCCUGACCUUUUUGGCUAUCAUUUCCUGUUUUUGUCAUUCCUAAUUUUAAAUACUGUGUUCUUCUCGGGUAUGCUGGUCUUUUAACAUUUUUCAUAGGGGGGUUUUUAAAGUUUUUGCUAUGGUACAUGGCAGAUAAGAAAGUUUGGUUAUUAUUUGUGUUUUAUGCUAGUGGAGGAUGGAUAAUUAGCUUUUUUCAGGGAUUAACUUGCACAUGGGCUUUGAGUCUUUUUUAUAACCAUGCAUGUAGCCGAUUUCAAAGAAAUAAUUUAUUUCCAUUUGCAAGGCUUGAUGAUCUGAAGAGUAUAAGUAUGCUUGUCUGAAGAGCCCGUGCUGCUUUUAUGGGACAUGAAAUCUGUACUGCUUUUUUAUAGGACGAGAUCUGGGGACCAUCUAGGAAUUAUUAAUAGUUGGCGUGUGGGUUUCUGAUAAAUUUUGCACUCUUCUAAUAACAUUGUUGUAUCUUAGGCAAAUUUUGUAACUCAAUUCCAAUUUCUAAAAAUCAUUUUUUCAAUUGUAAGCCUGAUGGUAAGCAAUCUUAUCGAAAAUAUUAAUUUUUUUCAUAACUGCUGCUGUUGAGUUUUACCACUUAUUACACUAAGCAUGCUUUAAGCAGUAUAAAAGACUAUUUUAAAAAGUUGAUUAAUCACUUGAUCUAUGCUUAUAAAAACUGAA
rnacentral:lncRNA from 1 species